GACGAACGCUGGCGGCGUGCUUAACACAUGCAAGUCGAACGCUGAAGCUUGGUGCUUGCACUGGGUGGAUGAGUGGCGAACGGGUGAGUAAUAAGUGAGUAACCUGCCCUUGACUCUGGGAUAAGCCUGGGAAACUGGGUCUAAUACUGGAUACGACAUGUCACCGCAUGGUGGUGUGUGGAAAGGGUUUUACUGGUUUUGGAUGGGCUCACGGCCUAUCAGCUUGUUGGUGGGGUAAUGGCUCACCAAGGCGACGACGGGUAGCCGGCCUGAGAGGGUGACCGGCCACACUGGGACUGAGGCACGGCCCAGACUCCUACGGGAGGCAGCAGUGGGGAAUAUUGCACAAUGGGCGGAAGCCUGAUGCAGCGACGCCGCGUGAGGGAUGACGGCCUUCGGGUUGUAAACCUCUUUCAGCACGGAAGAAGCGAAAGUGACGGUACGUGCAGAAGAAGCUCCGGCUAACUACGUG
rnacentral:rRNA from 1 species